rnacentral:rRNA from 1 species
UACGGAGGGCGCGAGCGUUGUCCGGAAUCACUGGGCGUAAAGGGCGCGUAGGCGGCCCUGGUAAGUCUGCGGUGAAAGCCCGGGGCUCAACCCCGGGUCGGCCGCGGGUACUGCCGGGCUGGAGUGCCGUAGGGGCAGGCGGAAUUCCGGGUGUAGCGGUGGAAUGCGUAGAGAUCCGGAAGAACACCGGUGGCGAAGGCGGCCUGCUGGCGGCGACUGACGCUGAGGCGCGAAAGCCAGGGGAGCGAACGGG